GAUGAAGAACGUAGCGAAAUGCGAUAAGUAAUGUGAAUUGCAGAAUUCAGUGAAUCAUCGAAUCUUUGAACGCACAUUGCGCCCAUUAGUAUUCUAGUGGGCAUGCCUGUUCGAGCGUCAUUAAGUCCACUUAAGCCCUGCUUAGUGUUGGGAGACUGCUCCAGCGGUGCUACCCUGUAGCUACCCUGCAGCUCCUCAAAGACAGCGGCGGAGUUGUGGUAUCCUCUGAGCUUAGUAACUUGUUCUAGCUUUCGAGUACACCACUUCCCCUGCCGUAAAACCCUUAAUUUUUAAUGGUUGACCUCGGAUCAGGUAGGAAUACCCGCUGAACUUAAGCAUAUCAAUACGCGGAGGA
rnacentral:misc_RNA from 1 species